AUGCUGAGGUGGAUGGCUAAGAUGAGGAGAGAGAAGGAUUGAGUUCUUCCUAGUUUGCUCUCUCAUGAACCGACCAAGAGAACCGCUGGACCAGGCUGGUUCUCUCUGAACCAAGCAAGACUAGGGUUAGAAUACAGAUUGGGGAUUCGCAAAUCCUUCUCACGACUUCUCUAUGCUGCCGCAAUCCCAUCUCCCUCUCUCUCUCGCUCUCUGUUACUCUUGCAAAUGACUAUGUUCAGACUCUCUCUCUCCGUGUUCUCUUGAAGCUGAUUUGGAGAGAGGAAAGCAAGUACCAUUUCCCUGGCUCCUUCCCCCUUUCAUCUUUCCCAAAACACUUCUCCGUUUCGUUUUUUGUUUCUGUCUUUCAUAUUUCCCUCCACAGUCCACACAGAGGGUCUAAAGCAGAGGUUUUUCAGUAAGAAGCCUAAUGGGAAUUUACUCAAUUUCCAAAUUGCUUUCCUUUUUCCCUUCUCGGUUUUGUUUCUGGGUUUGGUCCAGUGUAGCGUGACUUGCGAUCGGAAGGCUAUUGUCAUUAAUGGGCAGAGGAGAAUCUUAGUCUCCGGCUCCAUACACUAUCCGAAGAGCACCCCUGAAAUGUGGGGAGAUCUUGUACUAAAAGCUAAAAGAGGAGGUUCGAGGUUUUACUAACAAGUUUUUUUUGUGCAAGUAAGGAGUUUUUAGCUCAAAUGGUAGAGCACUUGUGUAAUGCCCAGGUUAUGGUGGUUCGAAUCCACCAAGACUCUAGUUCUUGUUUACCAUUUGUGGGAGAUUGGUUUUAUGUUGGUUCUUGUGUACCAUUUGUAGAAAAUGUUUCUUUCUCUUAUCUACUUUCUGCAUUCUAUGCUCUAUUUUUUGGUGUUCUGAGUAAAAAUGUUUAUGUUGCUGGAAGAAUAAUUCUUUGUAGGGCUUGUAGUUCUUAGCCACUGGAAUAAAUGAUCAGAUUUGUUCUUUGUA